rnacentral:rRNA from 1 species
UACGGGGGGAGCAAGCGUUGUUCGGAUUUACUGGGCGUAAAGGGCGCGUAGGCGGCCACUGCAAGUCGGUUGUGAAAUCUCCGGGCUUAACCCGGAAAGGUCAAUCGAUACUGCAGGGCUAGAGUGCGGAAGGGGCAACUGGAAUUCUCGGUGUAGCGGUGAAAUGCGUAGAUAUCGAGAGGAACACCUGCGGCGAGGGCGGGUUGCUGGGCCGACACUGACGCUGACAGCGCGAAAGCUAGGGGAGCGAACGGG